UACAGGGGUGGCAAGCGUUUGUUCGGAAUUAUUGGGCGUAAAGCGCGUGUAGGCGGCUUUGCAAGUCGGGUGUGAAAGCCCUCAGCUUAACUGAGGAAGUGCGCCCGAAACUGCAGAGCUUGAGUACCGGAGAGGGUGGCGGAAUUCCCCAAGUAGAGGUGAAAUUCGUAGAUAUGGGGGAGGAACACCGGUGGCGAAGGCGGCCACCUGGACGGAUACUGACGCUGAGACGCGAAAGCGUGGGUAGCAAACAGG
rnacentral:rRNA from 1 species